rnacentral:rRNA from 1 species
CUAAGAAUCUUGCGCAAUGGGCGAAAGCCUGACCCAGCAACGCCGCGUGAGGGAUGAAGUAUUUCGGUAUGUAAACCUCGAAAGAAUGGGAAGAAUAAAUGACGGUACCAUUUAUAAGCUCCGGCUAACUACGUGCCAGCAGCCGCGGUAAUACGUAGGGAGCAAGCGUUGUUCGGAUUUACUGGGCGUAAAGGGCGCGUAGGCGGCGCGGUAAGUCACUUGUGAAAUCUCUGAGCUUAACUCAGAACGGCCAAGUGAUACUGCUGUGCUAGAGUGCGGAAGAGGCAACCGGAAUUCUUGGUGUAGCGGUGAAAUGCGUAGAUAUCAAGAGGAACACCUGAGGCGAAGGCGGGUUGCUGGGCCGACACUGACGCUGAUGCGCGAAAGCCAGGGGAGCAAACG